GUGGGGAAUAUUGGGCAAUGGGGGAAACCCUGACCCAGCGACGCCGCGUGAGGGAAGAAGGCCUUAGGGUCGUAAACCUCUGUUGUGUGGGAAGAAGAGCGUGACGGUACCACACGAGGAAGUCCCGGCUAACUACGUGCCAGCAGCCGCGGUAAUACGUAGGGGACGAGCGUUGUCCGGAUUUACUGGGCGUAAAGGGCGCGUAGGCGGUCAUUUAAGUCAGCUGUGAAAUGGUUUGGCUUAACCGGAUCAUGAGGUUAGAACUGGAUGACUGGAGUGCUGGAGAGGCAAGUGGAAUGCCCAGUGUAGCGGGGAAAUGCGUAGAUAUUGGGAAGAACACCGGUGGCUAAGGCGACUUGCUGGCCAGCAACUGACGCUGAGGCGCGAAAGCCAGGGGAGCAAACGGGAUUAGAAACCCUGGUAGUCC
rnacentral:rRNA from 1 species